rnacentral:lncRNA from 1 species
GGAGAGUCCCUGAGCCAACAGAGCCCUGAGCCUUUCAUUCCUGUGGAAGAAAAUGGCAAUCUUGGCUCAAGUCUUCCCUUUGCCCUACCAGAAGUGAACCUGCCCACAGAAGGCACAAAUUUGCCUCUGCUCUUCCAUGAUGUAAUUUUGACCGGUAAAGGCUACCAUACAGCACUGCUGAGAACUGACCAGUUCUGGGGUUCAGAUCUCAGGUCCAUUUGACAGAGACACCAAGCCACAUCCUCCAACUCAGCUCUAUCCAUAAUAUUGCUGUGGCCUCUGUCUUUAUUCUUUGAUUUACUUCCUGAAUUGUGCAGCACUGAGGUGGAAAAGACAGAAGGCUGCUUACUGGUCCUCAAUGGACUCAACAUUGUGAAUAAUUGAUUAAUGAAGGUAUGAAGGAAAGGAAAGGAAAUUUUACAAAGAAGGAGCAAACAGAAGAAAUGACUUCCCAUCCUCUCAUACCAAAAAGUAGGAGAGAAGCAUGUGCAUGGGAGACAGGAGUUGAAAGUGUUCACAGUUGAUAUUGUCUACUUUCUCUAUGCAGCUGGAAACAAAGCUAUUUGCUGAGAGUGAGAAUGUUAAAGAUUUGAAGCCUUGAAGAGGUUGAAACACUACUUGAGAGAAUGAGAGAGAGGGGAUCAAGGAUAAGUAAAUGUGAGGAAAGUCCCCUCAUUGCAAUAUGUUUACAACUAAAUUGCACUUGCCCCAAAAACAAAGCCAAGGGAAAAAAAUGUAGAAAAUGUAGGUAGAAAAUGGCUACAUAAUCAGCUUACAAUUUCAACUUCAAUUGACAAUCA